ensembl:snRNA U6 U6 spliceosomal RNA
GUGCUCACUUUGGCAGCACAUAUACUAAAAUUGGAACACUACAGAGAAGAUCAGCAUGCGCCCUGUGCAAGGAUGACAUGCAAAUUCGUGAAAAAUCACUUAUUUUG